rnacentral:lncRNA from 1 species
UGUGUUAUUCAAACAGUGUCAGCCAGAAGGAACUCCAUCUAACUUCAUUCUGUCAUGGCACGGUGCCCAAUAGAUUCCAGCCCCCUGAUUAAAUAGGGGACCACUGUGGUGAUUGGUUAGUCACUUGUGCCAUAUGAGGUCAUUUUGAACUAGGGUGAACUUAGGGGUAGCUGUCAGCUUUCUUGGCAGUUAUUUCUUAGAAUGGGCAGAGAUGGCCUGUAUCCCUGAGAGAUGGAUGUUGGAAAAGGAUCAUUUUCUCUCUCUCUAUGUGCACUCACUGGGUCUCUUCACACUGCUUGGAGGAUUCUCUUGGGAUGUGUUGUGGAUGGUACAUGCCAGGUGACAUGGCUGGGAAUUAUGCUAUUUUUAUACUGUUCUUGAAUUACACUCUUUACUGCGGGGUUCAGAGUCACACAACCAGAAUUUGGCAUAGAGAAUAUAGGACAAUUUUUUUGUCAGGCAUUUAAGAUUUUUGUGCUGUGUAUAUGCACAUAAACACACACACACAUGCACAUACAUUUGGGCAUGCAAGUCUGGAUCAUGCCUAGCAACUGCAACUUCAAUGAUGGGGAUGCUUGGAUAUCACCAGGUUGGGUGCAUUUUACCGUUGACCUAGUUUACGGAAAGAUGAAUUACUGAGGAGUAGCUGACUCCAUCAAUGGGUUAAUGAUUCUCCAUGCUAUUCUUUUCUGAAAAGGCUUAUUUAAAUGUUUAUCAGUUGUGCAAAGUGGAGCACGCUGGCGAUUCGCAAGGGAUGGCUCAUCAUUGCCUAUGCAUGGAAGCGUUGUAGGAAGAUUAAAAUAACAUUGAGUAUAUUCUGUAAAUGAAGGCAAGAACUAACAGAAGCCUCUAGAGCCCAUUAUAAAUUUUAAUAAUACAUCAAGGUAAUGUAACUGAAUAACCGAUCUCUAAGGGAAGAAACACAACAUUUGGCUAAUAUUACAAUUUAAAUUAUGAAAACAAAAAGAGCUUUUAGUUAAUCUUGUCUUUCUGCUUUUAUUCUUCAGGCUCUUUUUUAUUUUCCCUGAAUCCAAAACACCAUGUAAACAAAUAAAAGUACGGGGGAAAAUAAACAGUUUGGCAUCUCAGUAGAUUAAUUAAUGCGCUUCAGCCUUGGCACCAGUAGGCGGAAAUUAUGUGCAUAAAUAAUAUCACUAAUUAAAAAGAUGCAGAUUAACAUGCAAAUAAUGUUAAUGAGGGUCUGCAAUUCCAGAGUGGAUUCGCAUAACAUCAACAAUUUAAUGGGUUGGAAGGCUUGUGUUUGCAUUACAUUAAUAAAUUUCAAAGACCUCGCAUAAAAAAGUUCUGUCAGAGCCUCUGUUUCCCACUUGCGAGUUGUAAAUUCUGUGGGCAGUAGCAAGCACUCAUCGGCAGAUGCCAAAGUCAUUAUCUCAAAGACUGUUGAGAGGGUGCCACGCGCCAGCGUGACCAGCUGCUGGGCACUGGGCGGUAGGCUCUAUUCCGUGCCAAUUAUUCAUAUUAUUUGGGUAGUCUUGAUAUUUAUUUAAACUGAUUAAUAUUUUGCACUCUGCAUCUUGAUCUAGAGGGAAAUCAUUUUAAGCAAGCAAAGUUAAAAAACCAACAACAACAAAAAAAAAACCGUUAUCUGCCUUUGAUGUGCGGUGGAAGUUGACUCACAGUGAAGCUGAUUGAGCAGACAGAAUUAUGAUCCACGGACAACGGCAGCAUAAAGUGUCCCUAACGAUGUCAUAUAAUAUUGAAAUAAAGUAUUACGGCGCCGCAUGCUAAGUGGACCAUAAUCUGUGGAGCUCCAUUUAAAAACAAAGGGCCCUGUGUAGUGUAAAAUGUGGUGAGAGGCAGCCCUUGCUGUUCACAUGCUGAUGCUUCCCUGGAUGGGUUUUAGGAAGGGAAGCAAAGAUCAAGGAAGGCCAUAUGGCAUUCCUUCCUAAAACAACAGGCUACCGCCAUUUAUUUCCCCUUGUCUAUCCCAGUCCUCAGCUGAUGCCGAGCUGGCCUCCUCAGGCCAAUUCUCAAACUCCAAGACAGCCAGGAACAGUACCCAUGGCAGUUGGCCACAGAGGUCAGGAAAAUGCCUGUCUCUCGCCAAUGAGCUGUCCACACUGGGCCUCGGGAGGGAUGUAAAAUGUCCGUACCCUGAAAGAUGGCCACAAGAGUUCCACAGCACACAACAGCUCAUUGGCUCUGUCUCAGUGUCAGAACCAUAGUGGUGAUGUCAGGAAAUAGCCAGCGACUUGGAGCCAAGGAUGCUUGCCCUACAGUGGCUUUGGGAGGCACAGCAGAAGGGCGACAUUGAGCAGGAGGUUGUCAGCAAGGCAGUUCUGCUCAGUGAGUGUCCUUGCAUGUUUUCACACAUGCUUUUCUCCUCCAACAUCCUGGCAUUCACACAGACCCAUGCUCCUUGGUCAUACAAGAGCCCUCACAGCCAAGUGUGCUUCGUAUAGAGCAAACACAGAGUAUGAGUGUUCACUGACCUACCUCAGUGUGCCUCUGACUGGGCAGCUACCACUCUGUGAGCAAAACAUGGCUCCUUCACUCUUCCCCUAGAUCCAUCCCAUACCUAGGUAGCUGCAGCUGUCACCUGUGUCCUCAGUCCUGCCAUCUAGAAGCCUUCUGGGAAGACAAAACAAAAGCAAAUACUGUUAACACUCUAGAUACAAAAAGAAAGUUAGAGCUCCCCAAGGGCUCUGCAGCUCUUUACUAUCAACUUCACAGCAGUGAGGGUCACAUCCUCCAGGUACUGUCCUCAGACUUGAGAAUCUCUUCUGGAUGGUGUGUACCAGGCUCAGUCCCAAUGCAAGGGCCUUGCACUCCCCAUGAGUGCCAUAGAGUCCUAAACACUGGGUUUGUGGGUCCCCCUUUCACCCUGCCCGCUAAAAUGAGAAGCCAUAUCCACAGCUCAUGGGUUCACUGGUUGGGGCUCCACUUUUAUGCCUAGCAAACAAAUGAGUGGCAAAAAAAUGGGCAGGUUCCCCUGCACUUUGUAGCUAUAGGGAAGACCAGGUGCUGCUGGCAUAUCACUGAACCUAUCUCACGAAGCUCAGUGUAACCAUGACUUCUUUUUCUCCAGAAGUUGCCCUGGGGUUCACACACGAGGGGACAUGACAAGUUAGCCAACUCUGGGCUUUCCCAUAGAUAUCCUCUGUCCAUCUGGUCAAUGAUUUGCACAUAAAAUGAGCACAGAAAGUAGGCAAUGACCUUAGAAAGAAUUUGAUCAGUCUCACCUGGGCAUCUAGGGUGGGUGGGGUACAUUUUCUUUCCAAGUAGUUCAUAGUGGGACAUUAUGC